rnacentral:misc_RNA from 1 species
GUAGGUGAACCUGCGGAAGGAUCAUUAACACGUAUCCACGUUAUCAACCCACGCGAAUUAUGUUUUCACCCGCAUUUGUCAGGCUUUUCCUUCAGUGGUUACUGACCCUUGCAACACCACAAUCACCCUAAUUACAUUAGUUGUCUAUUUCUAUGUUGUUUCUGGUAUGGUUUAAUUACUGUGCUUGAUUCACACGUUUAUUUACUUGAACGUUAAAAAUACAACUCUUAGCAAUGGAUAUCUUGGUUCUC